rnacentral:tRNA from 1 species
GGGAGUGUAGUCUAGUGGUUAGGAGGCUGGUCUCGUAACUUAGAGGUUGAGGGUUAGAUCCCAUUCAAGGGCG